rfam:Gossypium raimondii Chr08_contig_1269, whole genome shotgun sequence.
AAUUAAAAUUUUAUCCAUUUGUAUUGUUAAAAAUUAGCAUGAUUAACAAAUAAUCAAAUAAUUAUACGUGGCAUGUCACAUGUACAACAUGCUGACGUACAAGGACCAGUUUUAAUAGUAGAAAUGAAUGAAACUUUUAAGA